GUCUCCCGUGCCUGCUGCGCUGAUAAUCAGCAACUCACUCCAGCUGGCUCAGUUCAGCAGGAACAGGAGC
rnacentral:pre_miRNA from 1 species